rnacentral:rRNA from 1 species
CCUACGGGGGGCUGCAGUGAGGAAUCUUCCACAAUGGACGAAAGUCUGAUGGAGCAAUACCGCGUGCAGGAAGACGCUUUUCGGAGUGUAAACUGCUUUUGUCGUCGAAGAUUAUGACUGUAGACGAAGAAUAAGGACCGGCUAACUACGUGCCAGCAGCCGCGGUAAUACGUAGGGUCCAAGCGUUAUCCGGAAUUACUGGGCGUAAAGCGUACGCAGAUGGCGUGAUAGGUGAGUUGUGAAAUCUUGUGGCUCAACCAUAUAGACUAUGACUCAAACCAUCACACUAGAGGUUGGUAGAGGCAAGCGGAAUUCCCGGUGUAGCAGUGACAUGCGUAGAUAUCGGGAGGAACACCAAUGGCGAAGGCAGCUUGCUGGGCCACACCUGACGUUGAGGUACGAAAGCGUGGGGAGCGAACGGGCUUAGAUACCCCAGUAGUC